CGAUUACUAUAGUGGACGUGACGGUUGUGUUUUCAUACGAUCUAUAGAAGCCUAUACUUGGAUCUUGGCAAGAUGUGCCGUUAUAUUCCGGAGGACAUUGACAAAUCUCAACGCCACUUGCCAAUGGUGGAGAAUGAGUAUUGGACCCGUCAAAUGGUAUUGCUAGCUUACGUCGUCUUCGUAAAGUCCGCAUUGUCUGUGGCUUUUAUGAAGAUACGUUGCACAUUCUGUAAAGCGACCAUCAAAACCUCUCUGGUAACUUUGUAAUCUGGUCUGCCGUGUAAUUGCCAUAAAGACUCGUGAAAUCUACAAAGGAAUAUACCGCUUUACUACGUGAAGUUUCUUGUCACAUUGAAUAGAUCAUUACCGUCAUACCUGACUUCAUAGCGAUUAUCUUUAACAGGCGAGUGCAAAUAAUAUUCUAGGAUGAUCCUAUCGUUUCCUUGUAGUUGUACAAGUGGAUAUUUAUGUGCCGAUCUCAAUGAUAUACCACCAUCAGUUGACGUAGCAAAACGUAAUAAUCCACCAUAAGAUGCAACCUUGAAUUUCAGAUGAAAAGUCGUAGAAUUUUUCUUUUCAUGAAAUUAUGAUCAAAUAUUACCUUGUCGCGUAAAAACGUUUCCGGAAGUUUCCAAUAAAGAUGAUAAUUAUAAUACAAAUUAGCUGGAAGUAUAACGUCUCCUUCAAUGUUAGGAAUUAUUGUUAAACCAUUAAUGACAUCUAAUUCAUUAUUCGAGUAAACAAAAACUGCUGUUGAGCCUGAAUCGGUGAUCUAAAACGGAUGCACACGUAUAUGCAUAUAUAUAUAUAUAUAUAUAUAUAUAUAUAUAUAUAUAUACAUAUAAUUUUAAUAAUAAUAUAACGACAAUCAUUUUUUGGCUUACCAUAAUAUCGUUGACCGAUUCGUUAAUAAAAAGGGUCCUAGGUUUUUUAAUUCUUCUCAAUCCCCAACUGAAACCAGCCUGUUGACAAUGUUUGCUUCUACCAAAGCAAAAGCAUUCGGUACAACCUUUCGGAUUAUCUUUUGCUAGGCCGAAGGUACCAUUCUUGCAUCGAUUACAUUGUCUGCCAACGACAUUUUCCUAAUUCAGACACAAAUGUGAAAAAAUCAUAUCGAAUUCGAAAUAAAAUUGUAAUAAACUUUUUA